rnacentral:tRNA from 2 species
CAUAGCUCAGUCGGUAGAGCACCUGACUGUUAAUCAGGGUGUCACUGGUUCGAGUCCAGUUG